UACAGAGGGUGCGAGCGUUGUUCGGAAUUACUGGGCGUAAAGCGCGCGCAGGCGGCCUUUUAAGUCUGACGGUGAAAUGCCGGGGCUCAACCCCGUGCCCGCCGGAGGUACUGGGAGGCUGGAGACGAGUAGAGGCAAGCGGAAUUCCGGGUGUAGCGGUGGAAUGCGUAGAGAUCCGGAAGAACACCGGAGGCGAAGGCGGCUUGCUGGGCUCGGUCUGACGCUGAGGCGCGAAAGCGUGGGGAGCGAACAGG
rnacentral:rRNA from 1 species